CUAUCACUAACACGCUCUAUCUCUUGUUGAACGGUUGAACCUAUACACUAUACAGAGUUUGGACCCAUUGCUAGCCCACUGCAAGUUUGGUACUGAUCGUCUCUCCUCUACCACUGGCCAGAUAUAGUAUUACCUCCAAGGCUCCAAUGCUCCACACGUGUACAGUUAAAAGCAAAGCAAUCGUACUGGUGUAGAGUUUCCAGUUGUGUUAGGUUACCUCCAAGGCUCCAAUGCUCCACGUGUAUGGUUAAAAGCAAAGCAAGUGUAUUGGCGGAGAGUUUCCAG